UGCCUUAGUAACGGCGAGUGAAGCGGCAACAGCUCAAAUUUGAAAGCUGGCCCUUUCAGGGUCCGCGUUGUAAUUUGUAGAGGAUGAUUCGGCGAGGGCUCCCGCCUAAGUCCCCUGGAACGGGGCGUCAUAGAGGGUGAGAAUCCCGUAUGCGGUGGGCUGCCUUAGCCAUGUGAAUCUCCUUCGACGAGUCGAGUUGUUUGGGAAUGCAGCUCUAAAUGGGAGGUAAAUUUCUUCUAAAGCUAAAUACCGGCCAGAGACCGAUAGCGCACAAGUAGAGUGAUCGAAAGAUGAAAAGCACUUUGGAAAGAGAGUUAAAAAGUACGUGAAAUUGUUGAAAGGGAAGCGCUUGCAACCAGACUUGUCCGCAGUUGCUCAGCCGGUCUCCUGACCGGCGUACUCUUCUGCGGCCAGGCCAGCAUCAGUUCGGGCGGUCGGAUAAAGACCUCGGGAAUGUAGCUCCUCUCGGGGAGUGUUAUAGCCCGGGGUGGAAUGCGGCCAGCCUGGACUGAGGAUCUCGCUUCGGCAAGGAUGCUGGCGUAAUGGUUGUAAGCGGCCCGUCUUGAAACACGGACCAAGGAGUCUAACAUCUAUGCGAGUGUUUGGGUGUCAAACCCAUACGCGUAAUGAAAGUGAACGGAGGUGGGAACCCGCAAGGGUGCACCAUCGGCCGAUCCUGAUGUCUUCGGAUGGAUUUGAGCAAGAGCAUAGCUGUUGGGACCCGAAAGAUGGUGAACUAUGCCUGAAUAGGGUGAAGCCAGAGGAAACUCUGGUGGAGGCUCGCAGCGGUUCUGACGUGCAAAUCGAUCGUCAAAUUUGGGUAUAGGGGCGAAAGACUAAUC
rnacentral:rRNA from 1 species